CACUUCUCUUCAAGCACCCUGCUGAAACUGCAGGAGCCAGGCCUCUGAGGCUUGGUUCAUGUAGCCGUGUAAGCAUGGGUACACCGGGGAAGGAAAGCAAAACACAGUAUCUUAAAUGAGGCUAGGAGGGACCUCUUUCUUAAUGUCCAGUGUCCUAGGUCUUGAGGUUCUGUGUUACAACU